CACAAUUGACCAAAUGGUUGGGUGUAAAAAGUUUUGAUCCACCGCUGGUGAAAAAGACAAAUUUCCGCCGUUUCAGCUGGAAGCGGGUCAAAUUUGAACUGCGACUGCCUCAUAGUUUGCUAUUUAUUUUUUUCCAAAAAUCAUUUCUAGGUACAAAAGUAUCUAUUUAAUCAGAGAAACACCAAAAAAAUUCCAAGAUUCAACCACUAGCUUGGAACGGUCAGUCCCGCCGUUUUGACCGCAUUUUGAAACGGGCAUAAAAAAUUCAAAAAAAUAAAAAAAAUUGGAAAACCUUCGCAUUGUGUCAUUAUAUGUGACCAAGUUACCGGGAAAAAUAAUAAACUUGUAAUACGGCAAUUCUUUUAAAAAAGUGUUCUCAGAAAUGAGCUAUCAUGUGUGAAGAUUCAUGGCUUCCAAGUCAAAUGAUCAAUCUUAUGGCCACAUUCAUGGCAUAGUUUGUUCAAAUGAUCUUAUAUUGUGCACAAGGGUGCAUAUUGGAAUGGCAAACAAUGCUGCCUAAGGAAACUUUCAUUUUCUUUGGACGAAAAAAACAUUUUCCAUUUUUCGAGUGCCCCAAAUGAUUUUUUUUGUGAAGAACCUACCAAAUAAUUGUUGCAAAAUUGGAACAAAUCAUUUUUAUAAAAUACUAGGCCAUAUUUAAUGCACAAUUGACCAAAUGGUUGGGUGUAAAAAGUUUUGAUCCACCGCUGGUGAAAAAGACAAAUUUCCGCCGUUUCAGGUGGAAGCGGGACAAAUUUGAACUGCGACUGCCUCAUAGUUUGCUAUUUAUUUUUUUUCCAAAAUCAUUUCUAGGUACAAAAGUAUCUAUUUAAUCAGAGAAACACCAAAAAAAUUCCAAGAUUCAACCACUAGCUUGGAACGGUCAUUCCCGCCGUUUUGACCGCAUUUUGAAACGGGCAUAAAAAAUUCAAAAAAAUAAAAAAAUUGGAAAACCUUCGCAUUGUGUCAUUAUAUGUGACCAAGUUACCAGGAAAAAUAAUAAACUUGUAAUACGGCAAUUCUUUUAAAAAUGUGUUCUCAGAAAU
rnacentral:lncRNA from 1 species